AGUCGUCUGUGUUCAUGAUCAGAAGCAGUUCUCGGGGGCUGCCACCAGGAGGCGCUGAGUGCACCAAAUUUGGUAUAGUCUGAAGGACAGACCGGGGAUGGGUCGAUCUAAACCAGACUGCAGCUAUCCUCUAAGGAGACAUAUGACGACUUGUUAUUAAAACAUAAAUCCCUAUUAAAUUUAAAGAUCAGUUUCAGAUAUUAGGAAGUUGUUUCAUCACAUCUUUGAAAAACAGAAAAACCCUGUGUGAAGUCUGAUGAACGCUCAACUUCACACCUCCUUCCUGUAAGAGCUGAGUCUGUCCAUGCUUUUCAUCUUUUUACCCUCCUCCUCCUCCUCCUCCUUACAAAAGUGACCCAUUUCUGUUUCUUUUCUCUUCAUACAAAAAUGAAUAAAUGUAUUUAUUAUGAGCUCAGAAACUCAAUGGUCAAAUAACAAAUAGAAAAAAAAAAAAUUACAGCAAGUCUGUCCUGAUUUUUUACAAUUCACUAAAUAAAAGUCUAGACUGAAGCCUGGUGCCUCUAUUAUGAUACCAAGUUCCUCACUGCAGCUUUGAUUGAGAUUUUACAUUCAACAGUGUCUUUAAACUCAUUGUCCAGAUUAUUAUUAUCAGUAAUGGGUUGGAGUUUUCUAGAGAAAAGUUACUGAAAAUUCAAUAUUUUACAUCCAAGACAGUGAAAAGAUAUAUUCAGGACUCACUAGAUGAAAACUAAGAUGAUUUUUCAUGUAGUUUUGACUUUUUUCACCCUUAGCUCCACAUUUUAUCAUUUGAAAAACAUGAAUAUUUGAGAUCUUUAACGAUUGUAAUUGUAAUUUUAAUAUCUUUGUUAGAACUGCUUGAGGUGCCCCCCACAACAGACUUUCCUACCAACAUACCAGUUAAUUAUGAUGUCUAGACUUCCUUAUCUACCAGUAAGAUACAACAUCCUGCAGGAUACUUCAGGUGUGAAACAUCCCCAACACCACCCCAGGGUGGGUGGAGUGACGGUCCGCACAGAAAACAAAAGAUGCCAACAACAAAUCCCCAUUCCUCGCCCUCUGAGGGGCGGUCCUCAAGCAUAGAUGUUCAGGUUUCCCCA